GCCAGACCUGUACCCACUGCCUUAGAGACUCCCCUGCCUGGGAAACCAAGACGACAUGCCCUCAGGGGCAGCGGUGACAAGAUUAUUUUGUCUGAGUGUUUGGGGAUCCCAAGAUGUGGGAGGUGGGAUAGGCAGGCAGAGGAUGGGAUUAAUUUGUGGCUGGGAUUGCUCAUAAUUACUACCUUCCCUGAUGUAUCCCCUUUCCCAAGUUUAGGCUGCUGGUGAGGGGAGAGACACCAGCAGGAGGGGAGUGGGUAAGAGGGUGGGACCAGCCAGCCCAUUCAGAGCUGCCUCCUCCCCCAGCUGGGUGGGGACUGGCCUGCCUCCCACCUCCUUCAGACAGAGCUUAGUCCUUCCUGCUUUGUUGGGCCCUGCCCCCUAUUCCUGGGCAGCCUUGCCUGGCAGUCUCCACUAUUCUCAUCCGCGGCAGCCCCCAACCUUGGCCAACACCCCAGGUGUGGGCUGUCCUCAUCAGGAGCUCCCCCACACCCCAAGUGCUCCCCCUUCAGCUGCUGCUUCUGCCCCAGACUCACAAUCAGUAAUGACAGGAUAAUUGUUUGUUUUAUUGAUCAUAACCAGCCUUCCGUGGCCCAGCGAUGGAUGAUGUGGGAAGAGCUACAUUUGCCCUGGCACAGGCACCCUAGCACCAGGAGAACCAGAUAUGGCCUCACCUGGAUGCAGACUUUCCCCAUCCUGCCACCUCAUCACUCACCUUGGACCCUGAAUCCCCAAGAGACUUCUAUUGGCUGAUCUCUGCCUCAGCCUCUUGCAUCCCAACCGUCACCACACCGAUGGCCAGUCACGGCCGGAAGCCCAGCACAGACCCUCCCCACCUUUCCACAAGCCUCCACCAAGACAGGACAGGCUCCCAGGACCUCUUGACUCACCCAGCCUCAUCCCCUAGGGGGGGCUUCUUUUCCUGAAACAGGAAGCCCAAUGUGUGAUCCCAGAGGAACUGAGGAAACUGCAUCUCAACCCUCGAAGUCCUGCUGGGCCAGCAGCUGGAGAAUUUGGGCGCACGGGUCUGGGAGGUGAAGAGAGGGAGAAAAGGAAGGGGGAAUCACAUAGCCACUGUUGGCAGUUGGCAAAUUCAAGUUCUCCCUGCUUCCAGGCUAAAGUCUCCCCACUAGCGAGCCACCUGUGUAUCUUUUGGGACUGGUGAGAAGCAAAUGAAGGGGCAGUGUGAAAGCAUCUUGAGUCCAGAGGCAUAAGCACUGAUCACAAUGAACUCCUCAUGACUCAACCCAGGAUGAACUGGAUUGGGAGUCAAUCCCAUCUCUACCAUUUCCGGACCAGAUCGAACAACUCACUCCGAACCACUGGAGCCUCAGUUUCCUCCUCCACUCAGUGGGGCUAAUGCUAUCAACUUGGAAAGUUAUUACAGGAAUGAGGCAUCCUUCUAGCCUGGCUGUUCCCAUCUGCGAGGGAGAGAAGUCCAUGCCUUCCUCCUCUCUGCUCUCUGCUCCACCUCACCUCAGACCCUGGAACAGGCAGUGGUCCUGAAGGAUCUAGCCCAGAGAGAAUGGCGAGGGCUGCAGAUGGCACCGUGCUUCUGAGAGUGGAGAGAUCCAUACCCAGUGCUAAUGGAAAAGCUGGACUAGUUCUUGGCAGAAAGCCUCCCUUCUCCCCCCUGCCUGGUGUCCAAGGAACUCACGGGGAGGGUCCUGAGUGCCAGCACCAGCUCCGGAAAGCAGGGGCCUCAUGAAAUUGGACAAGGCAGCCUCUCGGGGGCCUUCCAGCCUCUCACAACACACUGCUCCUACGGGCCAUGUUGCCACCUCCCACAGCGUCAACCUCUUUCAGUAAACCUAGCCUCAUCCAUCUUCCAGGCUCAACAAAUGAAGUGCUAAGUGCCCCUUGCAGGAACAGCAGCCAUCAGUUAAAUUAAGUGAUGGUGGAUCUGUGUCCUGCCCUCCUGUCAACCACCUAGCAGAAGCUAAUCCACUAAAAGGUUGAAGGGCAAAAGCCAAGGGAUGCUUUUAGCAGAAGAAGCAAAAGGACUUUCCUCGGGGAGUUUCCAUAGCCCAUUGCUCCAAGAGUUACUUCCUGGGGUCUAGCCUUGAUCUCUCCUGCCACUUCAUGUACCAUCAGUACUUAUUGCCCUCAUUCAAGUGCCUUCUGCUGUUGGGAAGGGGAAGGUGGGUGGCACGAGGCGUGGACCUGCCCUCAGAGAGACCCCAGUUAGGAAACGGGCUUCCCACUGUGCUCACAUUGAGCAGAGCUAACUCGUUCAGGAGACACAUCCCUGGCCUGCUGGUUUCAUUCAUCAAGUUGCCAAAGCCCUUUGUGCCUCAGUUCCCUCAUUUGCAAAUGAGCAAGUUAGAGACAGGUUGUUUCUCUUUCCCAGUCUUGGUGGGGGAGGCCAGCACCCGCUUGUCUCCACUCUCCGAGGGCCUGGAGGGGCAGCUAUCAGAGGAGGCAAUUUGCCGUGGCCAUUCUGCUGAUGGGGCGUUAGGCGGUGAUGGAAGGCAGCCUCCGUCAGAGCCUGACUUAGCCCACCGCUGACACUCUUCACUUCCACCUGGAGGCAGAAAAACAUGUCUCGUGGAGAGUUAGAGCCACUGUCAGUGCUGGCCAGGGGCUCUGAGGAGAUUUUUAUUUAUUUGGAAGCCAUUCAGACACCUAACGCUCUUCCGAGGAGAGAAUUUCUCUCUUUUAUUUGUCCUCGUUUUCUCUUGCCACCGUGGGAUGAAGGCCCCAGGGCCAGGGGGCGAACCCAGUAUCUGGGCCUACGUGCCACACACACCACUGCAUGUGGGGCACAGGGGCGGUGCCAGGGGCCUUCCUCUCCCCCGGGGCAGAUGUUCAGGUCAGGGUCCUCCCAAGAAGGGUUCUGAGAAGGCCCCAGGGCCUGGGAGGGGCGCGGAGGACAGAACCUAGGCCUUAGCCUGCAGCCCGAGUCUCUUUGCCCACCACAACCCUAAGACAAGUCCUGCCCCUUCCUGGGACUCAACUUCCUCAUCUGUAAAAGGAGAAGGUUGGACCAGAUCUCUCUGAGGAAAACUGCAGACUGCCCAGAACAGCUGCUGGUGGGAAUGGGAACCACCAAGACAGGGACUCCUGGUGGUAGCAGGCCCUCUGGCUGGGCAGUCAUGUCCAUCACCAUCCUGCCUAAGUGGGGAGGACUCGAGCUUUGUAAGGGGAGUUGGGCAGUGAAGGUGACACUGCUUCUCUGUACUCACACAACCAAAGAUGUUCUCUAAGGAUGAGGCCACCUUGGCUGCUGGAAUCUCAGUGCAGCGGCGAACAGGCUGUUCUGACAUCCUGGCUCAUCGUCACCUCUGAGCCGAGGCUUGUUCCACGCCGCCUGUGAGGGCGUGCCAUCCUGCCAUCCGCCUCACUGCCUCUGCCAGGAGCUCCCUCUGGGGACUGUGGUCCCACCUCCCCCUGGUGAAGAGGGCCAGGGAGAAAGAAGCUGGAGCUUGGGCAGAUAGUCUCCUCAUGGCAACAUGUAAAAGUCUGGCUCCAUCCUGCCUCAGCCCUUUGCUCAGAUGCUCUGCCACGGACACUCUUCCCAACACCUCCAGCUACUCAUCCAUCCAACCCUCCCAGUUCUUCUGUGCCAGUUUCACGACCCCUUCCUCCAGCAAGCCUUCCCUGACUACCCAAGCCUUACAUUGCUGAGUGACCGCAUGCUCUGUUUCACCCACAGGACAUAAUUCAUGAUUUGAGGUAUUCUUUGUGUUUUUCCUGUGUCAUAUUUCCCCACUAAGUGGGGAGUUCCCAUGGGCCAAGGAUCAAGCCUCUACACCUCCCAGAACCUAUCCAAUUAACUAGUGUCCUCUUUCAGUCAAAUAAUCUGAGUUCAGUGUCCCUUGUGAUGAUGGAGGUCUUUCCACUGCAGUACCAGGAGGCCUGGGUUCCCCAGGAGAACCGUGCUGGGUUCUUGAUACCAGAGGCCAUGAUGGGGACA